CCCAGUGGCUCAGAUGGUAAAGAAUCUGCCUGCAGUGCAGGAGAUCCAGGUUUGAUCCCUGGGCUGGGA
rnacentral:tRNA from 1 species